GGCCUUGAAAUACCACCCUUUAAUGUUUGAUGUUCUAACGUUGGCCCCUGAUCGGGGUUGCGGACAGUGUCUGGUGGGUAGUUUGACUGGGGCGGUCUCCUCCUAAAGAGUAACGGAGGAGCACGAAGGUUGGCUAAUCCUGGUCGGACAUCAGGAGGUUAGUGCAAUGGCAUAAGCCAGCUUGACUGCGAGCGUGACGGCGCGAGCAGGUGCGAAAGCAGGUCAUAGUGAUCCGGUGGUUCUGAAUGGAAGGGCCAUCGCUCAACGGAUAAAAGGUACUCCGGGGAUAACAGGCUGAUACCGCCCAAGAGUUCAUAUCGACGGCGGUGUUUGGCACCUCGAUGUCGGCUCAUCACAUCCUGGGGCUGAAGUAGGUCCCAAGGGUAUGGCUGUUCGCCAUUUAAAGUGGUACGCGAGCUGGGUUUAGAACGUCGUGAGACAGUUCGGUCCCUAUCUGCCGUGGGCGCUGGAGAACUGAGGGGGGCUGCUCCUAGUACGAGAGGACCGGAGUGGACGCAUCACUGGUGUUCGGGUUGUCAUGCCAAUGGCACUGCCCGGUAGCUAAAUGCGGAAGAGAUAAGUGCUGAAAGCAUCUAAGCACGAAACUUGCCCCGAGAUGAGUUCUCCCUGAGACUUAGAGUCUCCUGAAGGAACGUUGAAGACGACGACGUUGAUAGGCCGGGUGUGUAAGCGCAGCGAUGCGUUGAGCUAACCGGUACUAAUGAACCGUGAGGCUUAACCUUACAACGCCGAAG
rnacentral:rRNA from 1 species